GGUCUCACAGCUCUGUUGGCUAGAGCGUUGGCUGUAUCAAAGCCUUCCGCUUGCUGGCGUGGGUUCGAACCCCACCGAGGCCA
rnacentral:tRNA from 1 species